rnacentral:rRNA from 1 species
UACGUAGGGGCCUAGCGUUGUCCGGAUUUAUUGGGCGUAAAGAGCUCGUAGGCGGUUUGGUGAGUCGGGUGUGAAAUCUCCACGCUCAACGUGGAGGGGCCACCCGAUACUGCCAUGACUAGAGUCCGGUAGGGGAGUGUGGAAUUCCCGGUGUAGCGGUGGAAUGCGUAGAGAUCGGGAAGAACAUCAGUGGCGAAGGCGGUCUGCUGGGCCGUUGCUGACGCUGAGGCGCGACAGCGUGGGAGCAACAGG